UGGAUGUAUCAGGCGCUCGAGGCCUCAC
rnacentral:sRNA from 1 species